rnacentral:tRNA from 1 species
GGGACCAUAGCUCAGUUGGUUAGAGCGCACCCCUGAUAAGGGUGAGGUCGAAGGUUCAACUCCUUUUGGUCCCACCA